CGGGGUGUAGCGCAGCUUGGUAGCGCACCUGCUUUGGGAGCAGGGGGCCGCAGGUUCAAAUCCUGUCACCCCGA
rfam:Modestobacter sp. VKM Ac-2676 NODE_12_length_15944, whole genome shotgun sequence.